UACGUAGGCGGCUUUGUAAGUUAGAGGUGAAAGCCCGGGGCUCAACCCCGGAAUUGCCUUUAAGACUGCAUCGCUUGAAUCAUGGAGAGGUUAGUGGAAUUCCGAGUGUAGAGGUGAAAUUUGUAGAUAUUCGGAAGAACACCAGUGGCGAAGGCGACUAACUGGACAUGUAUUGACGCUGAGGUACGAAAGCGUGGGGAGCAAACA
rnacentral:rRNA from 1 species